rnacentral:lncRNA from 1 species
GAAACAUCAAACCAACCUACUGGGAGCGACAAAGCCUACCAUACAACGUCUUAAAAAGAGCCAUAUCAAUACUGAAGUGGUAACUAUUACUAUAUGUAAACUCUGCUAAAGCCAAAUGAUGUUCCCACUGUCCACCAAAAUCCAUCGCGCACGCCUGAAGCAUAUCCUUCAAGACCUGGAUAGUCCGCUCUGACUGGCCAUCAGUAUG